rnacentral:ncRNA from 1 species
GCAGAGUAAGGCGAUAUGCGUUAAGUGCUUUCUGGACGGGGAGUUGUCAGAAAGACGAAAAGAAAUCUUGCGGUAUAUCGUCUGCAUCCCGCUGC